AACGAACGCUGGCGGCGUGCCUAACACAUGCAAGUCGAGCGCGAAUGGAGCAAUCCUAGUAGAGCGGCGCACGGGUGCGUAACACGUGGGUAAUCUGCCCAGAAGUCCGGAACAACCUGCCGAAAGGCUGGCUAAUACCGGAUAAGCCUACGGGGACUUCGGUCCCUGAAGGAAAAGGUGGCCUCUGUAUACAAGCUAUCGCUUCUGGAUGAGCCCGCGGCCCAUCAGCUAGUUGGCGGGGUAACGGCCCACCAAGGCAACGACGGGUAGCUGGUCUGAGAGGACGAUCAGCCACACUGGAACUGAGACACGGUCCAGACUCCUACGGGAGGCAGCAGUGGGGAAUUUUGCACAAUGGGCGAAAGCCUGAUGCAGCAACGCCGCGUGUGUGAUGAAGGUCUUCGGAUCGUAAAGCACUUUCGACCGGGAAGAACACCUUUUGGCUAACAUCCAAAGGCUUGACGGUACCGGGAGAAGAAGCACCGGCUAACUCUGUGCCAGCAGCCGCGGUAAUACAGAGGGUGCAAGCGUUGUUCGGAAUUAUUGGGCGUAAAGCGCGUGUAGGCGGCUUUGCAAGUCGGGUGUGAAAGCCCUCAGCUUAACUGAGGAAGUGCGCCCGAAACUGCAUGGCUUGAGUACCGG
rnacentral:rRNA from 1 species